rnacentral:rRNA from 1 species
UACGAGGGGAGCUAGCGUUAUUCGGAAUUACUGGGCGUAAAGCGCACGUAGGCGGCUUUGUAAGUAAGGGGUGAAAGCCCAGAGCUCAACUCUGGAAUUGCCUUUUAGACUGCAUCGCUUGAAUCCAGGAGAGGUGAGUGGAAUUCCUAGUGUAGAGGUGGAAUUCGUAGAUAUUAGGAAGAACACCAGUGGCGAAGGCGGCGAUCUGGGAAGAUACUGACGCUGAGGUGCGAAAGCGUGGGGAGCAAACAGG